ACGGGUGAGUAACGCGUGGGAACAUACCUCUUGGUUCGGAACAACACAGGGAAACUUGUGCUAAUACCGGAUAAGCCCUUACGGGGAAAGAUUUAUCGCCGAGAGAUUGGCCCGCGUCUGAUUAGCUAGUUGGUGGGGUAAAGGCCUACCAAGGCGACGAUCAGUAGCUGGUCUGAGAGGAUGAUCAGCCACAUUGGGACUGAGACACGGCCCAAACUCCUACGGGAGGCAGCAGUGGGGAAUAUUGGACAAUGGGCGCAAGCCUGAUCCAGCCAUGCCGCGUGAGUGAUGAAGGCCCUAGGGUUGUAAAGCUCUUUUGUACGGGAAGAUAAUGACGGUACCGUAAGAAUAAGCCCCGGCUAACUUCGUGCCAGCAGCCGCGGUAAUACGAAGGGGGCUAGCGUUGCUCGGAAUCACUGGGCGUAAAGGGUGCGUAGGCGGGUUUUUAAGUCAGAGGUGAAAUCCUGGAGCUCAACUCCAGAACUGCCUUUGAUACUGAAAGUCUUGAGUAUGGGGGAGGUGAGUGGAACUGCGAGUGUAGAGGUGAAAUUCGUAGA
rnacentral:rRNA from 1 species